AUUGAACGCUGGCGGCAGGCCUAACACAUGCAAGUCGAGCGGAUGACGGGAGCUUGCUCCUUGAUUCAGCGGCGGACGGGUGAGUAAUGCCUAGGAAUCUGCCUGGUAGUGGGGGACAACGUUUCGAAAGGAACGCUAAUACCGCAUACGUCCUACGGGAGAGAGCAGGGGACCUUCGGGCCUUGCGCUAUCAGAUGAGCCUAGGUCGGAUUCGCUUGUUGGUGAGGUAAUGGCUCACCAAGGCGACGAUCCGUAACUGGUCUGAGAGGAUGAUCAGUCACACUAGAACUGAGUCACGAUCCAGAAUCCAACGGGAGGCAGCAGUGGUGAAUAUUGGACAAAGGGCGAAAGCCUGAUCCAGCCAUGCCGCGUGUGUGAAGAAGGUCUUCGGAUUGUAAAGCACUUUAAGUUGGGAGGAAGGGUUGUAGAUUAAUACUCUGCAAUUUUGACGUUACCGACAGAAUAAGCACCGGCUAACUCUGUGCCAGCAGCCGCGGUAACAC
rnacentral:rRNA from 1 species